rnacentral:rRNA from 1 species
AACGAACGCUGGCGGCAGGCUUAACACAUGCAAGUCGAGCGCCCCGCAAGGGGAGCGGCAGACGGGUGAGUAACGCGUGGGAAUCUACCCAUCUCUACGGAAUAACGCAUGGAAACGUGUGCUAAUACCGUAUACGUCCUUCGGGAGAAAGGUUUAUCGGAGAUGGAUGAGCCCGCGUUGGAUUAGCUAGUUGGUGGGGUAAAGGCCUACCAAGGCGACGAUCCAUAGCUGGUCUGAGAGGAUGAUCAGCCACACUGGGACUGAGACACGGUCCAGACUCCUACGGGAGGCAGCAGUGGGGAAUAUUGGACAAUGGGCGCAAGCCUGAUCCAGCCAUGCCGCGUGAGUGAUGAAGGCCCUAGGGUUGUAAAGCUCUUUCACCGGUGAAGAUAAUGACGGUAACCGGAGAAGAAGCCCCGGCUAACUUCGUGCCAGCAGCAGCCGCCGUAA